rnacentral:misc_RNA from 1 species
GAGGACAUAUUCCAUGUAUUGAGCGGAAAGAAAUUUGUAUUAUUGUUAGAUGACAUAUGGCAACGAGUUGACCUUGAAGAAAUUGCUAAAUGAACAUCUUUAAUAAGUGUAAGGCGAAAUUUAACCCUUUGCCAUAAAAAAAUGCCAAUCAUAGCUGAUGAUAACAAGUGGCUGUUGAUGUAUCACUUUCACAUGCAAAAUGAUAAAUUGGGUUAGUUGGUUUAAUUUCUAGUAAAAUUUGCCUAACCGAAC